rnacentral:misc_RNA from 1 species
CUCUGACAAAUCGCGUGAGAUGGUGGGAAACCGCCACCUCGACAUCGAUCUGGAAUGGGUGAACGGGCGAGUACCCGAGUGCGGGCAGCAAGGAGGCGGCGGCGGCUAGAUGUUCGAUGCGAACCAGCAGGUCGAGGUCCCCCAUAUCCCUCACGCCAGCGUUCCGAUAGACCCUGGUCGCCAGGCACGCGCCUUUGAGGACAAUCACGGGAAUGUUGUUGGCCGAAAAACAGUCGAGAAUGCGGGCGAGAUCCGCAUGGAGCCACAGCAACCGUUGGGCAAUCUCGCGUGCCGACGAUUGAAAUUCCGCCAGGACGGAAGCCGGCAU